rnacentral:rRNA from 1 species
AUUGAACGCUGGCGGCAUGCCUACACAUGCAAGUCGAACGGCAGCACGGGAGCAAUCCUGGUGGCGAGUGGCGAACGGGUGAGUAAAGUAUCGGAACGUGCCCAGUCGUGGGGGAUAACGUAGCGAAAGUUACGCUAAUACCGCAUACGAUCUAUGGAUGAAAGCGGGGGAUCGCAAGACCUCGCGCGAUUGGAGCGGCCGAAAUCAGAUUAGGUAGGUGGUGGGGUAAAGGCUCACCAAGCCGAAGAUCUGUAGCUGGUCUGAGAGGACGACCAGCCACACUGGGACUGAGACACGGCCCAGACUCCUACGGGAGGCAGCAGUGGGGAAUUUUGGACAAUGGGCGAAAGCCUGAUCCAGCCAUGCCGCGUGCAGGAUGAAGGCCUUCGGGUUGUAAACUGCUUUUGUACGGAACGAAAAGGUUUGGCCUAAUAAGCUGAGCUCAUGACGGUACCGUAAGAAUAAGCACCGGCUAACUACGUGCCAGCCGCCGCGGUAA